GACGGAGGAUGCAAGUGUUAUCCGGAAUCACUGGGCGUAAAGCGUCUGUAGGUGGUUCAAUAAGUCAACUGUUAAAUCUUGAGGCUCAACUUCAAAAUCGCAGUCGAAACUAUUAAACUAGAGUAUAGUAGGGGUAAAGGGAAUUUCCAGUGGAGCGGUGAAAUGCGUAGAGAUUGGAAAGAACACUAAUGGCGAAAGCACUUUACUGGGCUAUUACUGACACUGAGAGACGAAAGCUAGGGUAGCAAAUGGG
rnacentral:rRNA from 1 species